rnacentral:rRNA from 1 species
UACGUAGGCAGCGAGCGUUGUUCGGAAUUACUGGGCGUAAAGAGUGUGUAGGCGGUGCUCUAAGUUCGGUGUGAAAUCUCCUGCUUAACUGGGAGGGUGCGCCGGAAACUGGAGUGCUCGAGCGUGGGAGAGGAAAGCGGAAUUCCUGGUGUGAGCGGUGAAAUGCGUAGAGUAUCAGGAGGAACACCUGUGGUGUAGACGGCUUUCUGGACCAUAGCUGACGCUGAGACACGAAAGCGUGGGUAGCAAACAGG